AUGAUUAUUUGGCUAUCCAAUCUCAAUUUGAUAAUGUGGAUCUUCCACCUGGAAUAGAGGCAUCACUUCCUUGGCUGAAGGAUCCUGCUCCUUCUGGAAUUGUCACAUCAGGUACAAGCAAUUCAACUAUUGCAGAUCUUUUUGAAAGCAAGGGGAAGGAUGCUGUAUCAGGUAUUGCUGAAACAAAAAGGACAGUAAUUACUUCCAGUUGUUCUGGAAAUAGAAGUCCAGCAGAAGCUACAAGUAGUUCUGCAGUUACUGCAGAAUCGAGUUCUAAUGGGGAAGUCAUAGACAAUGAAGAAAAUGGUAUCAUUCGAAAAUUUAAGAACUUUAAACAAUUUGAUACUGUGGAAGAUUUCUCAGAUCAUCACUAUAGCCGUAUGGGCUUCUCAGGGCAGCAGCCCAAGAGUUGGGCAAAGAGAAUUCAAGAGGAAUGGAAAAUUUUGGAGAAGGACUUACCAGAUACAAUAUCUGUUAGAGUUUAUGAAGCAAGGAUGGAACUUUUGAGGGCUGUCAUUAUAGGACCUGCUGGUACUCCUUAUCAUGAUGGCCUUUUUGUCUUUGACUGUCUCUUCCCCCCUAACUAUCCUGAUACACCUCCGAUGGUCUACUACUAUUCAGGUGGGCUUCGAUUGAAUCCGAAUUUGUAUGAAUGUGGGAAAGUCUGCCUCAGCCUUUUGGGAACAUGGAGUGGGAAACAGAAUGAGAUGUGGAUCCCAGGGACGUCAACCAUGCUUCAAGUUUUGGUUUCUAUUCAAGCUCUCAUUCUUAAUGCAAAGCCCUUCUUUAAUGAGCCUGGAUAUGAAUCAUCUUAUGUUGGUGUGGAGGGGGAUAGAAGAUCCAGGAAGUACAAUGAGGAUGUGUUUAUCUUAUCUUUGAAGACAAUGAUGUACACACUUCGAAGGCCGCCCAAGUAUUUUGAAGAUUAUGUCAUUGGUCAUUUUCACAUGCGUGCAUGUGAUAUUCUGGUAGCAUGUAGAGCAUAUAUGGAUGGUGCUACAGUGGGUUCUGUUGCAGUAAAAGAUGGAGUAGCUGACAUUGAUAACGCCGACAGGAGUGCCUCCAGUGAAUUUAAAGUAACACUAAGAAAGAUGGUAAACGUUCUGAUUACAACCUUCACUAGACUUGGGUCAAUAGAAUGUGAGCAGUUUCGAAUUAAUGACUAAAAUGAAAUUAAAAAGAAGCUGAAAGCAGGGGGAGGAGAGGGAGGAAAGUACAGUGGGGUCGCAAAGCCACGAUGGGGCUGAUAUAGAGUGGGUCAUGGAAGGCCUUUUUU
rnacentral:misc_RNA from 1 species